AUUUUGACAUCACCACUGCCCCCACAAAAAAAAAAAAAAAAAAAAAGUGAGAACUGACUAUAUCACGGGUACCUAGACCAUGUGGAGAAAGGACUGAGACUGGAAGCAGAAAACACAUUGUCCCUACAGAGCAAAGUGCCAGACAACAGCUCACUCUAGUAAAGGGCGAUAAAUGCCACAUGAGAUGGUCUCCUCAGUUCAAAACUAGUGUCAUAUCUCAAGCUUGUGCCUAUAGGAAAACCCUACACUGGUAUCAGUUAUGAAGUUGCAUCUGACUUAUGUGCCUGGUCUGAUGACUUCGACUAUCUUUUCAUGACUCCUAAAUUAUGGAGGCCACGCCAUGCGACUUCUGGGAUGUUAAUUCCCCAACCAAGGAUUGAGCCCAUGCCCUCAGCAAUGAAAGCGUGGAGUCCUAACUACUGCACCACCAGGGAAUUCCCAACAACUUCCCAAGUUUUAUACCAACAAAGAAAGUAGCCAAAUAUAUACCUAGUUAUCUACCACCUCUCUGGUUUUCAACUUCAUUUUCCUACCAUAUUUAUACUUUAAAAUAUACUUUUUAAUUUAUGUAGAAUAAAACUCACUCCUUUCAGUAUGCCGUUCUAUGAGUUUUGACAAAGGCACAGUUGUAUAACACCACCACAGAUUUAUUUUUAAGCAAACAUUCAAGAUACCCACACUUAAGGAGGACUAUGAAAACUGUUUGAUCAAUACUACCUUGAGUGGGUAUAUAGCAACAACAGUCUCUGCAAAUGAAAACAGUAACACAACAACCAGAAUAUUAAAAAUGGAAAAGCCAACACUUACAAAGGAGUCAUAAAAUAGAAGUAAAAGUUAAUAUAUAUGACUUCUCCCUCCUGGAGGCCCUUUUGUUUUUAUAUGAUCAACCCCAAAUGAUUACAAUUGAACAGGUGCUCAUUUUAUUCACUCUUAAAAGGUAAUUUUAAUAAAACCUUUUGGGCUUCCCUGGUGGUGCAGUGGUUAAGAAUCCACCUGCCAAUGUAGAGGACGCGGGUUUGAGCCCUGGUCCGGGAAGAUCCCACAUGCUGCGGAGCAACUAAGCCCGUGCACCACAACUACUGAAGCCCAUGCGCCCAGAGCCCAUGCUCUGCAACGAGAAGCCACCGCAAUGAGAAGCCCACACACCGCAACAAAGAAUAGCCCCUGCCCGCCGCAACUAGAGAAAGCCUGUGUGCAACAAUGA